rnacentral:rRNA from 1 species
UGGGGAAUUUUGCGCAAUGGGCGAAAGCCUGACGCAGCAACGCCGCGUGAGUGAUGAAGGCCUUUGGGUCGUAAAGCUCUGUCAGAGGGAACGAAGUGCAGAGGGUUAACAGCUCUUUGUUUGACGGUACCCUCAAAGGAAGCACCGGCUAACUCCGUGCCAGCAGCCGCGGUAAUACGGAGGGUGCAAGCGUUGUUCGGAUUUAUUGGGCGUAAAGGGCGUGUAGGCGGUUUCUUAAGUCUGAUGUGAAAGCCCCGGGCUCAACCUGGGAAGUGCAUUGGAAACUGAGAGACUUGAGUACGGGAGAGGGCAGUGGAAUUCCCAGUGUAGGAGUGAAAUCCGUAGAUAUUGGGAGGAACACCGGUGGCGAAGGCGGCUGCCUGGACCGAUACUGACGCUGAGACGCGAAAGCGUGGGGAGCAAACA